UACCCGCAGCCCAAGUGGUGCUCGUUAUUAUUGGGCCUAAAACGUCCGUAGCCGGACCAGUAAAUUCUUGGGUAAAUCGAACGGCUUAACCGUUCGAAGUCCGAGGAGACUGCUGGUCUUGGGACUGGGGGAGGCUAGAGGUACUCCCGGGGUAGGGGUGAAAUCCUGUAAUCCUGGGGGGACCACCAGUGGCGAAGGCGUCUAGCUAGAACAGCUCCGACGGUAAGGGACGAAGCCUUGGGGCACAAACGGG
rnacentral:rRNA from 1 species